rnacentral:rRNA from 1 species
CGCCUACGGGAGGCAGCAGUGGGGAAUAUUGCACAAUGGGGGAAACCCUGAUGCAGCGAUGCCGCGUGGAGGAAGAAGGUUUUCGGAUUGUAAACUCCUUUUAUCAGGGACGAUAAUGACCGUACCUGAAGAAAAAGCUCCGUCUAACUACGUGCCAGCAGCCGCGGUAAUACGUAGGGAGCGAGCGUUGUCCGGAUUUAUUGGGUUUAAAGGGUGCGUAGGCGGAUCGUUAAGUCAGUGGUCAAAUUGAGGGGCUCAACCCCUUCCCGCCAUUGAA